AUUGAACGCUGGCGGCAUGCCUUACACAUGCAAGUCGAACGGCAGCACAGGUGCUUGCACCUGGUGGCGAGUGGCGAACGGGUGAGUAAUACAUCGGAACAUGUCCUGUAGUGGGGGAUAGCCCGGCGAAAGCCGGAUUAAUACCGCAUACGAUCUACGGAUGAAAGCGGGGGACCUUCGGGCCUCGCGCUAUAGGGUUGGCCGAUGGCUGAUUAGCUAGUUGGUGUGGUAAAGGCCUACCAAGGCGACGAUCAGUAGCUGGUCUGAGAGGACGACCAGCCACACUGGGACUGAGACACGGCCCAGACUCCUACGGGAGGCAGCAGUGGGGAAUUUUGGACAAUGGGCGAAAGCCUGAUCCAGCAAUGCCGCGUGUGUGAAGAAGGCCUUCGGGUUGUAAAGCACUUUUGUCCGGAAAGAAAUCCUUGGCCCUAAUACGGUCGGGGGAUGACGGUACCGGAAGAAUAAGCACCGGCUAACUACGUG
rnacentral:rRNA from 1 species